AGGUCUUACAGCCUUCUGCUCAGCAGAGGCUUCUGGAGAAGAUGGCCAAAGGCUCAUGGACGAUGAACAGUCAAUUGCAGCACCAACACAUCCCAAGGAAACGCUCACUGAAGUUCAUUCAACAGGCGUGAGCAUUUUACCCAGAUCCUUUGUCUUUGAGGUUUUCCUUCAUAGAAUAAAGGUCCGUUUUCACUUGUGUGUGUUCUUAAUGCCGCAGCUGAAGAGGACUGGGAGCCUGACCUGCAGAAACAUGGCUUAUUUAGCUUUGUAACGAUAUUGUAGUGACUUGCUGAUGCAGAUGUUUUCUAUAUGGAUUUUCAUGUAAUAAUGUGUGUGAGCGCUGUGUGUGUUCUGCCAUGGAUUGGAGCCCUGUCUUGGGUUAUUCCUUACCUCGUGCCCUUAGUUUCUGGGAUAGGCCCUGCAUCUCUGCUAAACUGAAUAGAACAAGUGAGUACAGAAAAUGGAUGGAUGGAUUUUCAUGAAAUCAACUGGAAAACUUGCUGCAUCACGACUGAUUGUCUACCAAAAUUGUCUGGAGUGCCAAUCCUGCCACUAACCCACAAAUUUUCCCAGUACGUUGGACUACCACCUUGAGGAACAAAGCGAAUGCAGAUUAAGGGCUCUGCUCAAGGACCCAACAGGGUAGCAACUUUUUGAUUGCUGACACAGACCCCUAGCCUCAGAGCCACCACUCCACACCAAGAAGAUCACUGGUAAAUUACACACUGAAGCAAAGUACUGUUGAACUUCCACCUUGGUAAAAAAAAAAAAAAAAAAAAAAACAUGUGAGAACAGAUUGAACCAUUUUAUUUACCCACAGGUUAGAUAUGGGGUUACAUCAUGUCUGCCAAGCUGAUUUAUAAAAGUGAAACUUUUGCACUCUGUCAGCUGUGUCAUGAUUUUCAUUUACACCGAGUUUGGGAUAUAAGAAAAA